rnacentral:rRNA from 1 species
CCUACGGGUGGCAGCAGUGGGGAAUAUUGCACAAUGGGGGAAACCCUGAUGCAGCAACGUCGCGUGAAGGAAGACGGCCCUCGGAUUGUAAACUUCUGUUCUUAGUGAAGUAUAAUGACGGUAGCUAAGGAGCUAGUCACGGCUAACUACGUGCCAGCAGCCGCGGUAAUACGGAGGUGGCAAGCGUUGUCCGGAAUUACUGGGUUUAAAGGGAGCGAAGGCGGGAAGCCAAGUCAGCUGUGAAAACUACGGGCUUAACUUGUAGACUGCAGUUGAAACUGGUUGUCUUGAGUGAAGUAGAGGUUGGCGGAAUUCCGAGUGUAGCGGUGAAAUGCGUAGAUAUUCGGAGGAACACCGAUGGCGAAGGCGGCCAACUGGGCUUUAACUGACGCUGAGGCUCGAAAGUGUGGGGAGCAAACAGGAUUAGAUACCCUAGUAGUC